UCCCGUUUGACACGGGCAGUCCCUCUAGAGUGCCCAACUAAAUGAUGGCAACUAGAGGCAAGGGUUGCGCUCGUUGCGGGACUUAACCCAACAUCUCACGACACGAGCUGACGACAGCCAUGCAGCACCUGUGUUCCCGUUCCCUUUCGGGCACAGCCGGGUUUCCCCAGCCUCCAGGACAUGUCAAGGGUAGGUAAGGUUUUUCGCGUUGCAUCGAAUUAAUCCACAUAAUCCACCGCUUGUGCGGGUCCCCGUCAAUUCCUUUGAGCUUCAACCUUGCGGCCGUACUCCCCAGGCGGGAUACUUACUCCGUUAGGUGCGGCACCGGCGGUAACCCGCCGACACUUAGUAUCCAUCGUUUAGGGCGUGAACUAC
rnacentral:misc_RNA from 1 species